GCAGCCUGAUGCAGCGACGCCGCGUGAGGGAUGACGGCCUUCGGGUUGUAAACCUCUUUCAGCAGGGACGAAGCGCAAGUGACGGUACCUGUAGAAGAAGGACCGGCCAACUACGUGCCAGCAGCCGCGGUAAUACGUAGGGUCCGAGCGUUGUCCGGAAUUACUGGGCGUAAAGAGCUCGUAGGUGGUUUGUCGCGUUGUUCGUGAAAACUCACAGCUUAACUGUGGGCGUGCGGGCGAUACGGGCAGACUUGAGUACUGCAGGGGAGACUGGAAUUCCUGGUGUAGCGGUGGAAUGCGCAGAUAUCAGGAGGAACACCGGUGGCGAAGGCGGGUCUCUGGGCAGUAACUGACGCUGAGGAGCGAAAGCGUGGGGAGCGAACAGGAUUAGAUACCCUGGUAGUCCACGCCGUAAACGGUGGGUACUAGGUGUGGGUUUCCUUCCUUGGGAUCCGUGCCGUAGCUAACGCAUUAAGUACCCCGCCUGGGGAGUACGGCCGCAAGGCUAAAACUCAAAGAAAUUGACGGGGGCCCGCACAAGCGGCGGAGCAUGUGGAUUAAUUCGAUGCAACGCGAAGAACCUUACCUGGGUUUGACAUGCACAGGACGUGCCUAGAGAUAGGUAUUCCCUUGUG
rnacentral:rRNA from 2 species